GAUGAACGCUGGCGGCGUGCCUAAUACAUGCAAGUCGAGCGAAUGACGAGGAGCUUGCUCCUCUGAUUUAGCGGCGGACGGGUGAGUAACACGUGGGUAACCUGCCUGUAAGGCGGGGAUAACUCCGGGAAACCGGAGCUAAUACCGGAUGAUAACGAGAAGCGCCUGCUUCUUUUUUGAAAGUCGGUUUCGGCUGACGCUUACAGAUGGGCCCGCGGCGCAUUAGCUAGUUGGUGAGGUAACGGCUCACCAAGGCGACGAUGCGUAGCCGACCUGAGAGGGUGAUCGGCCACACUGGGACGGAGACACGGCCCAGACUCCUACGGGAGGCAGCAGUAGGGAAUCUUCGGCAAUGGACGAAAGUCUGACCGAGCAACGCCGCGUGAGCGAUGAAGGCCUUCGGGUCGUAAAGCUCUGUUGUCAGAGAAGAACAAGUACCGGAGUAAUUGCCGGUACCUUGACGGUACUUGACCAGAAAGCCACGGCUAACUACGUGCCAGCCGCCGCGGUAAAAC
rnacentral:rRNA from 1 species